rnacentral:siRNA from 1 species
AGACAUCGUUACGUUGAUUAUGUA